GCUUUGGCGCUUAUUCUUUUUUCCUCAAAGUCCCGCUUAUCAAAUUAAUCGCAUGUAAACCAUGCAACAGUUGGUAUAGAGGCUUGAACGUGUUUGAAGCUGAAGCGUUUAAAAGAUGGAUGCUCAAGUGCUCAACAGAUUGAAAAUCGAAAAUGCAAGCUCGGGGGAUUAAAACUUCAUGCUCAAAUUGGAUAUUGCGGCGCUCAGAAGAUUGUUAACUAAAGCUCAAAAGCUUAAAAUAUUGAAGAUUGUAAUUCUAAAAAUUGAAGACCAAAGCUUGGAAGAUUUGAGACUGAAGCUUGGAGCUCAGAAGAUUAAACAUUGCAUCUCUGGAGAUUGAAGAUCCAUUAGAAGAUUAUUCCACAUUUGCUCGACUUCGUUAGAAGCGUAAUACUGCGUUUCGCUUCUCGAUCAAUGAUCGAUUGAUGGGAUACUUUUUGUAAAACAGUGAUCUAUUUUGUCCUUGACAAUCAGAAUGACCGGAAGGUGUACGAAUAAUUAAGGAUAAACGUUUGUAAAUGUAGGUAUCGUGAACAAAGGGCAAAUGUUUCUUUCGGACCACUCUGAACAUCGAUCGUAACUCGAUAACUCACCGAGUUAUUACCGAGAAACUUCAUGUAAAGUAUCGGCAAUAUGCAGAGUAUAUACUCCAUGCUUCUUUUUCUUAGCCAAUUGUUCCGUCAGAAAAUAUCUUCGUUAAUUUUUCUGUGCCUCUCAAAUGUUCACUUGCAAGUGCUAUGUCUUUGAAACGAUUCCCACAACCACCGCGAUGGUUUCUUCGAACUGACGUAGUUAGACAAGCGUUAGAAGUCCAAUUUCCUAUAGUAUCUGGUCUCACGAGAUUCAGAACGAUUGUUAUUUACAAAACGGUUCUAUCGAUUACGUAACAGAAUCCAUAAAUUUUACCAUAUUUAUUAUAGCUCGACUUUUCCUUCGCGACCGAUUUCAAAUUAUUAUUAUUAUUAUUAUUAUUAUUAUUAUUAUUAUUAUUAUUAUUAUUAUUAUUAUUGCUGGGAUAUCGAUCUUUAAUUAGCACCGCAGAGUCGACGUUCAAGCAGGUCCCAUCAAAUAUUCAUUUGAUCUCUAUGCUCUCUUCUUUCGCCAUGGUUCCGUUGCCGGUUCUCGAAUUUAUGCGAAACACCACGGCGCGCAAUAGUUCACACGGUUGAUGCUCGAUCCGGGACAGUAUAGUGUUUACGUUCAUGCGAAACUAAGCGGUCAGCACUAACGAGAGCGUCGACGAUGAAUGACUAGAUAGAAAAUAUUCGUCUGUCCACCAAAUAUUGUACGUGAUUCAGUAGUCGCGGCGCGGACUAAACGGACCCAACACGCGUCCAGCAUACUUAAAUGAAAAACUAUCAUGGUGGGGCGAUUCGUGAAACAGACAUGACAGUCCGACCUUCUCGAACCGGCCAUCGAACGGAUUAAUGGUCACGAGCCUACCGAGUUAUUGACAUUCGUUGUCCCGCCACUGAAUUGUUUCAUUGCUCUCCCUUAGUCCUUGCCGCCGCCGACCGUCCGACAACGAUUCAAAUUUUCCACGACGUUUCUCCGCUAUUUUCCGAGACAUUUAACGGGCAUCUGGGUCCUUGUCCCCGCCCACAUGCCUUUAAUUAUAUUUAACAUUGCGCACUCGUGUCGUUGCUCGAAUCUAUUUUGUUUGGAGUCUGAAGUUAAUCUUCCAAAACAGAUCCACAGUUUUAUAGUCAUUCCUUCAUUACAUUCGGAGACAUUGAGUGGCCAUUCUUGGCUCGAUUCUCGUCCAGUUUCCUGUAAUUUCAUCGUUAGCCGAGACUUCAUGACAAUCUUCUCGUCUGGGAUAAAAGGAUGAGAUGACGUCACGACGAAUCAUGCUGUCCAAACGAAUCAGGCAAAUAUUCUCGUUAAGUUCUACUCGAUUGAUCAUUGUUUGUCGGUCGUAAUCCCGGUAUUUUACUGCAAAACGGAAAUGACCCGACCCCUUCUUAAAUUUAAUUCGAAUCGUCCACAUUAUGUCCGUCAUGUUUCAACAACACGGGGAAUAAUUCAGCUCUCGUUUUCCGUAUACCGCGAGUCUGCUUCUUAGAACUCGGCCGUGUAUUCGCGUGCAAUCGAUAAAAUUAAGACUUCAUUGAUCUUUAAACAUUGUACCACCGAUUUCCAUGAACGCAACGUUUGCUCUGUUCGGUUCGCCUUAUUCGCAAACAAUCCCGCGGGGACGGACGGAGCCGCAUUUGCAUCCACUAUGCACCGAGAUCCAUUCGAAACGUUUCCACCGGAGUUUCCGUGUCACGGUCGUCGUUUUGAAAGCUCGAAACACUUCGCCUAGCCGAGACCUUUUACGAGGCAGAGACUAGAAACGGUCUUGUUCUACCGAGAGAUGGCUUCGAACUCCAUUUUCGCGAAUCAUGCGACUCGGGGCGAUCGAAGGUUGCGGUAUUAAGUGGAUAAUAAACCCACCGUGACGUAAAGCAAUUAUUUUUUAUGCGACAAUCCACGCGUUCUCCAUUAUUUGCGUGUUAUUACGCGGGAGGAAUUUGAUCUCGGAAGCACCUGAUAAGUUCAUAGAAGCAGAUUGUACAUGGAUCAUUGAUCAUCCACAGCGUCUAGGUCGGCCGUUUUUGUUAGAAACUAUUGGCCAGUGCAAGAAUCAGUAUACAUUGUUGUUAAUUCCACACGUCAUUCAUAGAAGCUCUAGUGUUCGGUAUUUUGCACUGGAUCGCCAAAAAACGAAAUUCUCAUACACUUCAGGAUUUUCUUGACAGUUUCGUAAAAAUUCUUGAAGUUUAAAAAAUCCUCUUGACGAUUCAUCUAGUAGCGCUUUCGCUGGGAGAAAGUAGAGGCUUCGGCCUUCAGAAUGAGUCCACGAACGCUAUCCUGCGAUUAUUUUUCACGAAGUUACGGUAGUUCAGAGUGCCGGACGAAAAUAAAUCGCUGUGAAGUUAAAUUUGUUUAGCCGCGUGCCGAAUAUUUGCUUUUAGAUUACCAUACGAUUGUUUAUUUGUAUAUAUUAUCGUUUUUAUCUUUUAAGUUGCAACAGUCAGAAUAUCGACAAGUUUUUCUUGAAAUGACAGCGAUCGUCUAUCUUCCUACUGCAGAAGAUAAAUAAUCGCGAAACCAGUUAUUGCGACCGGUCCGAUGAAACUAAAACAUGAAGUAUCGCAUCCCGUCGACAUUUUUGUAGUAAAGCGUGCUCGGAUCGGCGAAUGUAUUCGUUCAUUUUCCGCGAGAGAAUCGUUCGAAUUUCGGCGACCGCGGCUCGGUUCGCUCAACGUCGCGGGAUUAAUUGAAUCAGCGUGCGCGACCCACGAUCCAAGGAUCGCGAAGGUCGCAAAAAUUUGUCCUGUCGUAACGCGAACAACGAGGCAACGCGGCGAGUUAUUUGAGUUAAACACGUGAGCGAACGUGCGAAAACGCGCCGGCACGCUCUCGAGUGCAGCGUGUCGCAACUGUGCGCAUGCAAUCCGUCCACGUGGAGCCGCGAAGUGGCCGUGUAAAUUCAUCGCGUGCUGAUUCGCAUCGGCGGAGAUUCCUCUUUGGGCGACGAGAGACCGAACGGCGCGAAAAACAAUGCGUGACGUGAAAUCGGUCAUCGAGAGAUCUCGCAAUCGGCCAGACGAUGCGAUGACUUCGGUACCGACCUUGUGAAUCAUUCGAGACGAUAAGAAUCGUUCUCGAUUUGUUGUCAACGAAGCGUUGCAGUGCACCAAAAUUUGUCUGCGACUGCCGAUUUCUAUGAAAUUGGAUAUUCAAAAGACGACGAUUAACUGCAGAGAAGACAGCAAUUAGGAUGAAUAAUCAGGAAUGGCGAAAGACUAUUUAGACAUGGAAAACCGAGAGCCUAAUCGGCGUGCCGAGAAGAUAACGAAGGUAAAAUCGUUUGGAAUCCGCUGGGAAUCGGGAAGAGGAACGCUCCGGGAAAUGAUGUCAAUGAUAGACUAAACGCGAGUCGAAUAGAAAGCGCAGAAGACAAAAGAUCGUAAUCGGAGAAUGGUCAAGCGGUCGGAAAUUAUCGAGGAAAGGAAGGAUUACGGUAAAUGGCAUGCUGCUCCGGGACCACGUGCAAUGACUGAUCACCUAGGAAAGAAAUCAGAAAAACGAAGAAUCACAACGAUGACAGAUCAGAAAUUUUGUGCUACAAUUCUGGUUGCUCGAUUGAUACACAUUGUAUCGAUAGAUCGUAUAAAAAGAAAAAAGAGUCGAACCAGAGUUAUCGAAGCGAAAAUUUCAAUUUCGCUGUGCUAUUUCGUAUCUCAAUUACGGUAAACCGACUAUCAUUUAGGCUAUCAUUCCGGCCGAUCAGCAAACUGUGUAUUCACUGUUACGCACAGAAAAUUCAUGGAAAUAAAUACGAACCGGUAAUUCACGCUUGGAUCGGCGUGAAGAAAAAAUUGUCGCAAGAAAGAAGCGACGAGCAAACGCACGUACCGAACGGGUAUAAAAAUUCCUGGUGUGACCGACAUAUGAAUAUAGAGGAAAAUAUCUCGUCCGAAGUAAUCUCGCUGCUUCGACACUGGUUUCUAUUUAUGUGAAAAAGUGAUUUAUACAUAUAUUGAAAUGUCGGUGCGACAUUUGAAAUAAUUGCGAGUCGCCAGAGGUUUCAGUCUCUGCGGAACGACGUCUAGGAUCAAUGAAAUCGAAGAAUCAUGUUCCGAUUUGUCGGCGGCUACGUCGCCGAUUAUUAUGCACACAAUAGUCUUAACGGAAUAAAAUCACGGAGAUAACGGAAUUAACGAAACAUGAUUAUGCCGCGACUCGAUUAUCCCCGCGACCUAUGUGCACCGCGAGAAAUAGGCGACCGCCCGUUAAUUGAUUUCUAAGUCGACGGUGUCCGUCGCGGAGAUGCGCGAGAGCCGAUUGCACCACUCCGACGUAUUUUCCACCCCGUCCGGCCGCCGAGUGCAAAUGAACAAAAAGCAACUAUUUACUUGCCGCACCACGAAGAUCCCCAUUUUCGAUGUCGGCGACUAUUCACGAGGACACACCGUCGGUCACAGAAUCACCGAGCAGAAUGCUCGACUGGCUCUCGCUCUCGCAUGGAGCCGAAGAAAACGAAACGCGUCGACUGGCACACAACAACAACUUUCUCGACAGCCGAAUUCAUCAUCCGGGCCAGCAGUUCCCGCUUUCCGAUACUUUCUCGAGCCACAUCCGAGCGGCCUUCCUUUCUCCUUCUCUCUUUCUCCCGUCGUCGCCCUGUCGUCGUCGAAACGGUUCGACGCCGGCUAACGAGACUCGGAGGCGAUCCAGGAAAUCGCGAUCCGCUACCAUAACAUAACGUAUGCUGUGCCACACAUGCCGCUGCAUAACCACGGCCUUGACCUUAACCGGCUCGAUCGGUCAUCGUUAUCAGCGACUCGGAAUUCCUUCGACACGAGCGAUUCCCGAAGCGCGUCUAGACACCCGCGACGCCCUCGAUUUCCGUCAACGAACAGAUAAAUCGCUGACGUGGGGUAACAGAGAUGGGACGAAUGGCUCGCUCUCAACGAUCCGACGAUUUUCAGGAUUAACGUGAAAACCCCGAGCGCCAACGAUUGCUGGCAAUUUUUUAAUCAAACCGUCCGGCUCUCCGUGGAUAUUGGACGGAUACCAGGGGAUCGGUAUCCGCGGUUUCGCAGAUCCGUGGUUCCACGAUUUAACGAUGUUCUGGGUCGAUGAACCGGUAGCAGUUUUUUUAAUCAAAUUAUCGCGCGAGAAAGACCAGAAGCUCCGUUUAGAAAAUUCGGGAUUCGUUCGAGACAUUGUAAAGACCGGACGAAGUGGAAACAGAGACGAUCGACGGGGGAAUUCCAUGCGUAUAUAGAUAAUGUAAUUCUUCGAACUGGUCAGGAUUAAAGGGGCCAGCAGGACGAGACGCGGCGUCUGCCGGCGGUCUUGCCAAUUCUGGCAAAUGGAUCGCGCUUGUCAAGGUCCGAUUUCUAAACUCAGAGAAGGGGGUCAGGGAAGACUCGUCGAAAAUUUAUCGGGCAAUCCGCUAUCGGCGAAGAUCAGCUGCCCACGGCCAAUUAAUUAAAUUGUUUCGUUAGCGUCUCUUUGAUCCUAACAGUAAAUCACUGAGUCUGCCGGGGCGCGUCCAGUAAUCGCUGGGCCUAACGUUUACCAUUCUGGAGACGAUCCGGGGAGACGUGAUCACCACGUGGAUUCCGCGAUCGACAGCCGUCCUGCCGGGGUACGAUGAACGGCAAGAUGAAGACUAACCACUUGACUCGGCAGAUGCCGCCUCGAAUUUACGAGAUAAAGGGGGACGCUGUUCCGGGAAUCGUUAACGAAGAGAAUUCGGCGGAUUCGCAGUCCUGAAACGAUUUCUGUCGCGGAAUGAAAGGACGAUCCGUCUUCGUAACAAAUGUUGCCGGAAGAAACCUCGCUCGCUCUUCGAGCUGAAGCAGCAAGGAGUUGAUAGAAGCGUCCCGAAAAACUUCUGGAAUCGUUUCGAAGAACUCUCUUCCCCCGUAUUUGAAGCCGAACCUGUCGAGGAUGGCCGGAGGGCCGAAAUUACGGCCGCUCGGUCUUCGGCAUUGUUUUUUCCCCGCCGGUGAAAUUUCGCAACCGCUGUGUUUACACCGGGCCGGCGCGCUGAUGCAACGUGCAGGAGUUGCAACGGCCGAGACGUAACGGGUGUUGCGAUAGGAUUUUACGGAACGGCGGCCAAGAAAAAGGAAACACGGGCUCGCCGGUGGCGAAUCGACGCCGGAAUUCGGUGUUGAAAAGGGCGCUGACACGACGGGGGAAAUCGUUAACGGCCGCCGGUGCUCGUCGGACAGAGGAAAACAGUUAUUACGGGCUUCUUUCCUUCCACGGGCGAACUGUAAUCCGCCGUUCUCUAGCCAAUUACCGGCGUUUCUAUCGAUAUUUUACGACGCCCGAACGUUCACCGCGUUCCUUUAACAUCUCCGGCUCUUCUUUCUUUUGUUUCUCGGCGAUCCUUAACGGUGCUACCAAAAUGGCCGGAGCUUGAUGUCAAUGAGAACCGAUUUAACCGGUCCAAUUUGGCCCAGCGAUCUUCGUGCACGACGAUGAACGUACUGCUUCGAAGUUAACGUAAAAUAAUUGGGUCGUUGUUACACGGAGGACGAUCAGAGGCAUCCGAAAUCCGCGUCGUCUUCGAGCCGCGAUUACAAGACGAGGAGCUACGCAGGCGAAUUUAACAGAUUCGAGGAUUCUAGGUACAUGGAUUUCCAGAUUUCAGGUCAGAUAACUGCACAGGCUAGAAUAUUUGCGUGCGAAGCCUUCGAUCGCCUGUCCGUUCGAGCAAAUUAGGCUGUGAUAACGGUGAUCACCGAACUAGCCACGUUUUAUCGCGGACUCAUUGCCAUUUUGUGUUUCGGCGGCCUUCCAGGGACUCGAUCGUGUAUACAAGGCACAAAUGGCUUGACACCGCCGACAAUUCCAUCGGCAAUUCCGCCAGCAAUUCCACCGAGAAUUCCACCGGCAAGCACGCAGGAAAGUUUCUGUUUCGCGCGGCCGGCGCGCGCGCUCCGUGACGUUGAGAAUAGCACGACAAGAUUUCGCAAAGACAGCUGAUCAUUAGACCAGGGAACAAAAAGGAAAUUGCGACUUAACGUCGCAUCGUUGACAGCUUCCACGCCACGGGAAGUGUCGACGUGGGCCCGAGGGAACUCGAGGCUUAUCUGAAACGAAAUCCAGCGCGGAUAAAUUAGAAACGAGAAUUUAGAAAACUCAGAGCUCUCCGGGACUUCGAGGAUCGAGUGCUUCUGUUGAGUGCUGGCAGCCGUAUAAUUAUACAAAGUAACAGCCAGGUGUAACACUAUUUUCUAUUCGAUUCAUUCUAGCUGGCUAACAUUUCAACCUAACAAGACGAAUUAGAUAGAAAGCGUCGUAGAAGUGUUUGACCUAUUUUAAAAAAUGAACAAUUUUUGACAAGGAGAUACAGAAACGAGCCGCGAGGCUCGGAUAGUCGUAUCUCC